rnacentral:rRNA from 1 species
UUGGAGGGCAAGUCUGGUGCCAGCAGCCGCGGUAAUUCCAGCUCCAAUAGCGUAUAUUAAAGUUGUUGCAGUUAAAAAGCUCGUAGUUGAAUUUCGGGAUUAGUACGUCGGUCGUGCCUUAGGUACGUACUGGUGUUACUGGUUCCUACCUUCUGACGAACCAUCAUGUCAUUAAUUUGGUGUGGUGGGGAAUCAGGACUGUUACUUUGAAAAAAUUAGAGUGUUUAAAGCAGGCUCGCGCUUGAAUACAUUAGCAUGGAAUAAUGAAAUAGGACGUUGAUCCUAUUUUGUUGGUUUCUAGGAUUGACGUAAUGAUUAAUAGGGAUAGUUGGGGGCAUUAGUAUUCAAUUGUCAGAGGUGAAAUUCUUGGAUUUAUUGAAGACUAACUACUGCGAAAGCAUUUGCCAAGGAUGUUUUCAUUAAUCAAGAACGAAAGUUAGGGGAUCGAAGACGAUCAGAUACCGUCGUAGUCUUAACCAUAAACUAUGCCGACUAGGGAUCGGAUGAUGUUAUUUUUAAUGACUCAUUCGGCGCCUUACGGGAAAC